GAUGAACGCUGGCGGCGUGCUUAACACAUGCAAGUCGAACGGGAAUUCUUUUAUUGAAACUUCGGUCGAUUUCAUUUAAUUCUAGUGGCGGACGGGUGAGUAACGCGUGGGUAACCUGCCUUAUACAGGGGGAUAACAGUCAGAAUUGGCUGCUAAUACCGCAUAAGCGCACAGAGCUGCAUGGCUCAGUGUGAAAAACUCCGGUGGUAUAAGAUGGACCCGCGUUGGAUUAGCUGGUUGGUGGGGUAACGGCCCACCAAGGCGACGAUCCAUAGCCGGCCUGAGAGGGUGAACGGACACAUUGGGACUGAGACACGGCCCAGACUCCUACGGGAGGCAGCAGUGGGGAAUAUUGCACAAUGGGGGAAACCCUGAUGCAGCGACGCCGCGUGAAGGAAGAAGUAUCUCGGUAUGUAAACUUCUAUCAGCAGGGAAGAUAGUGACGGUACCUGACUAAGAAGCCCCGGCUAACUACGUG
rnacentral:rRNA from 1 species